UACGUAGGGGCCAAGCGGUGUCCGGAUUUAUUGGGCGUAAAGAGCGUGUAGGCGGCCAAGCAGGUCAGCUGUGAAAACUCGAGGCUCAACCUCGAGACGUCGGUUGAAACCGCUUGGCUAGAGUCCGGAAGAGGAGAGUGGAAUUCCCGGUGUAGCGGUGAAAUGCGCAGAUAUCGGGAAGAACACCCGUGGCGAAGGCGGCUCUCUGGGACGGUACUGACGCUGAGACGCGAAAGCGUGGGGAGCGAACAGG
rnacentral:rRNA from 1 species